rnacentral:rRNA from 1 species
UUUUACCCGGGGAGGUUAUUGCCGUUCCCGGAGAAUAAAUCCCGGGUAAUUUUUGUCCCGCCGCCGGGGUUAUAUAGGAGGGGGCCAGGCUUUUUUGGAAUUUAUUGGGGUUAAAGGGAGGGUGGGGGGUUUUUAAUUUCGGGGUGAAAAUCCCGGGGUUAACCCCGGGAAUGCCUUUGAAAAUUGGAAGUUUGGAUUUUGGGGGGGGGGGGGGAAUUUCCAGUGUUGGGGGGAAAUUUGUUAAAUUUUGGGAGAACCCCCGUGGGGGAGGGGGCUCCCUGGGCAAAUAUUGAACGUUAGGUCGCAAAACCUGGGGGGCCAACCGGAUUUGAUUCCCUGGUUGUUCCCCCCCUAAACGAGGAUAACUAGUUGUUCGGGCUGCUUGACACUCAGUGGCGCAGCUAACGCAUAAGUGUCCGCCUGG